GAUGAACGCUAGCUACAGGCUUAACACAUGCAAGUCGAGGGGCAGCAUGGUCUUAGCUUGCUAAGGCCGAUGGCGACCGGCGCACGGGUGAGUAACACGUAUCCAACCUGCCGUCUACUCUUGGACAGCCUUCUGAAAGGAAGAUUAAUACAAGAUGGCAUCAUGAGUCCGCAUGUUCACAUGAUUAAAGGUAUUCCGGUAGACGAUGGGGAUGCGUUCCAUUAGAUAGUAGGCGGGGUAACGGCCCACCUAGUCUUCGAUGGAUAGGGGUUCUGAGAGGAAGGUCCCCCACAUUGGAACUGAGACACGGUCCAAACUCCUACGGGAGGCAGCAGUGAGGAAUAUUGGUCAAUGGGCGAGAGCCUGAACCAGCCAAGUAGCGUGAAGGAUGACUGCCCUAUGGGUUGUAAACUUCUUUUAUAAAGGAAUAAAGUCGGGUAUGCAUACCCGUUUGCAUGUACUUUAUGAAUAAGGAUCGGCUAACUCCGUGCCAGCAGCCGCGGUAAUACGGAGGAUCCGAGCGUUAUCCGGAUUUAUUGGGUUUAAAGGGAGCGUAGAUGGAUGUUUAAGUCAGUUGUGAAAGUUUGCGGCUCAACCGUAAAAUUGCAGUUGAUACUGGAUAUCUUGAGUGCAGUUGAGGCAGGCGGAAUUCGUGGUGUAGCGGUGAAAUGCUUAGAUAUCACGAAGAACUCCGAUUGCGAAGGCAGCCUGCUAAGCUGCAACUGACAUUGAGGCUCGAAAGUGUGGGUAUCAAACAGGAUUAGAUACCCUGGUAGUCCACACGGUAAACGAUGAAUACUCGCUGUUUGCGAUAUACAGCAAGCGGCCAAGCGAAAGCGUUAAGUAUUCCACCUGGGGAGUACGCCGGCAACGGUGAAACUCAAAGGAAUUGAUGGGGGCCCGCACAAGCGGAGGAACAUGUGGUUUAAUUCGAUGAUACGCGAGGAACCUUACCCGGGCUUAAAGUGCAGGUGAAUUACGGUGAAAGCCGUAAGCCGCAAGGCAUCUGUGAAGGUGCUGCAUGGUUGUCGUCAGCUCGUGCCGUGAGGUGUCGGCUUAAGUGCCAUAACGAGCGCAACCCUUGUUGUCAGUUACUAACAGGUUCCGCUGAGGACUCUGACAAGACUGCCAUCGUAAGAUGUGAGGAAGGUGGGGAUGACGUCAAAUCAGCACGGCCCUUACGUCCGGGGCUACACACGUGUUACAAUGGGGGGUACAGAGGGCCGCUACCACGCGAGUGGAUGCCAAUCCCAAAAACCUCUCUCAGUUCGGACUGGAGUCUGCAACCCGACUCCACGAAGCUGGAUUCGCUAGUAAUCGCGCAUCAGCCACGGCGCGGUGAAUACGUUCCCGGGCCU
rnacentral:rRNA from 1 species